rnacentral:rRNA from 1 species
UACGGAGGGAGCUAGCGUUGUUCGGAAUUACUGGGCGUAAAGCGCGCGUAGGCGGCUUUGUAAGUUAGGGGUGAAAGCCCGGUGCUCAACACCGGAAUUGCCUUUAAGACUGCAUCGCUUGAAUCCGGGAGAGGUGAGUGGAAUUCCGAGUGUAGAGGUGAAAUUCGUAGAUAUUCGGAAGAACACCAGUGGCGAAGGCGGCUCACUGGACCGGCAUUGACGCUGAGGUGCGAAAGCGUGGGGAGCAAACAGG